GGAUAUAAAAGGGAAUCUGGCUGUUGACCAUAUUGGUUUCCAAGAUUGAUUGACUUGGGUCAAUCUGGUGGGUCAGGUGUCCUGUUUCUCUCUUAGGACUCCCUUGUGUUCUUCCCAAAGCUGCUUAAUAGAUGGAAAAGGACAUCUCUCCCUUAUACAGGAGAACUAUUCUUCACUCAAGAGUAUAUAUAAAACUANGCUCCUUUGUGGGUACCAACCUCCAAACAAGCUCUCAGAGAGUCUUGUAUUU
rnacentral:snRNA from 1 species